rnacentral:lncRNA from 12 species
GCCCAAGGAGCCAGAGAGCAGGGAGGUGUGUGAGGCAGAGCCAUUUGCAGCCCACGGAGCCCUGGCUGGAGCUGGGGCUGCGGCCGCUCCAUGGCGGGUGCCUCGCCCGGGGCCGCAGCGCUCAGGCCUGACCCUCUCCUCACAGUGACCUCGCCGGCGGCCCCCGGUGCCCAGCGCCGAGAGGAGCUGCUCCGUGGGCACGGGCACAAGGACACGGCCUGUCCUGACCCACAGCAGGCCCUGCUCCAGGCACUCUCCUCGCUCGGCAGCGAUGACUGGGAGAAGAAGGAGAAGGGACUUGUCAGCCUCAAACACCUGGCUGGGUCCCAUUCAGAAGUCCUGCGCUCAAAACUUCGUGACAUUUGCUUGGCAGUUACCAGCGAGGUGAGAACAUUGUUCUGGAUUGUCCCCUGUACUUCAUGCACAGUGUGUAGAGUUGAUAUGUG